UAAGCAAAUUUGGCUUCCUCCGUUGAUUUUGCUUGUUAGAAGCUGGUUGCAAAUGACGAUCACAUGACCCGCAGAACAAUGCAAGUGUCAUAAAUACAUGCCAGUUGCCAAGUGCUCAAAUUCUGAUCAUGUGACCAUGGGGAUGCUGCAAUGGUCAUAAGUGCAAGGACUGGUUGUAAGUGAACUUUUUUUUUAAUGGUGGUGUAACUUUGAAUGUUCGCUAAAUGAAUGGUUGUAAGUUGAAGACUACCUGUAAUGAUGUAGCACAGGCUCGGAUCUGUCCAGCUCUCUUGGUUGGCAGGUGGCAAAUUUCUCCUGCAUUUUGUCUUAAGAAACUCUGCUGGUGAGAACCAGAACAGGCUUAGUCGUCUAGAGUAGAAAGAUACGAAUCUCUCUUGGUCUACAAAAUCUUAUUUUAUUAGUGCCAACAAAUCUUCAGAGGAAGCAGCGGUCUGUGGCUUCUCGCUCUGGGCUUAUAGCCUGUCUGGGUUUUACUGGAAAACAAAAUGGAAAAUAAAAAUGCUUUGGACGCCUGGAAAAUUCCCUUCUGCUUCUCUACAAGUGAGAGAUUGUCCAAACGGAAUAACUCCCUCCUUUCCAUUCGAUGGAUGCACUGCAAGAAUUGCAACCAGUAGUUUAGUGCCCUCUGGCAUUGUCCACUAGCCAGAGUGGUUAAAAGAAAAGAGUCACGUUUCCACCCACAUUGAAAAAAAAUUGCUAAUGGGAUGAAAUCUGAACUCUGCACCAACCUGAAUGGCUGCCUCUGUAUCCUUUGGGCUUGAAUGAAAUCCAGCGAUAUACGAUGGUCACUUCUGCAUCUCAAAUUAUCAUUAUUAUUAUUCUCUUCCCUAUUCAAAUUUGAUCUGGCCCAAAUUAUAGUUUGUCAAUCCUUUGUCAACAUUAAAUGACACUAGAAUUAGAUGUGGUGUUAUGCAAGGCGAGAAUCCAAUAUCUUAAGCAGUGUCUCCAGAAACCAUCUAGCCGGCUUAAAAUCUGAUUGCAUGCAUUGUUAAUUCUUUUUUUAGUCUGACAGGUUUUCACACAGGAGAAAUAAUAUAAUAUCAGAGGCCCAGGGAACUGAGAGCAGGGUAGUAAUUGCACAAAAGUCAAGGUGGUAAUUUCUACUCCAGAUCUUUCCCACAACAAUCCUGUGAUGUAGAACUUGGGCUGAAAAGAAGUGGAAUGGAAUACAAUACAUUUUAAAUAGAAGAGAAUACAGGACAAAAAAUAAUUCUACAUCUCUUCUACUGGGGAAAUUCAAAAGCAUCCUGGAAUCAGAGCAGCUUUGCAGGCAAAUGCCUCCAAUCAAAGCAAGGUUUCAUUCUUUGAAUAUGGGUAAACUCAGCAUUCUAGUGAGUUCACAAAAACAUAUCCUGGGUUGGUUCUGUGCAACGAAUUGAGCUUAACAUUAGAUGAAACUGAAGCAGCUUGGAUCGACUGUUUCCUCCCUGCCCCCUUAUUUUCCUCUUGACUCGUCACUCCUGUACAUGCGCAGUCCUGGUCUUGCUAUGAACUGUGAGCAGGAAGGCAGAUUUGCAACCCAACAAGUCUCUGCAUGCAGCUGAUGGUUUCCUACUUCUGAUCCUUCCGCUGGGGCCUGGAUGAAUAAACGUGGGCUUGAGGUGGUUUUGCUGAUUAAAUAGGUUUGUUGUUAUAGAGACGGGCUGGUAUAUAUUAUUAUGUAAAAGUAAAAAAUUGAGAUUGUAUGUUAUUACCAUAUUCUACUCUGCCAAAAAAUCAA